UCGCCUGUUUAUCAAAAACAUAGCCUUGAGUGUUAUUCAAGGUAACGCCUGCCCAGUGCGAGCUGUUAACGGCCGCAGUACCCUGACUGUGCUAAGGUAGCAUAAUCAGUUGGCUUUUAAAUGGAGUCGGGAAUGAAUGGAUUUAUAGGGUUAAGCUGUCUCUCUCAUAUUAAAUUAAAUUUAUUUAUUAGGUGAAAAUACCUAAAUUAAAGAAAAAAGACGAGAAGACCCUGGGAGUUUUAACUAAGGUCUGUUAAAGGCUACGUUUUUGUUGGGGCGACAUGAGGGAAGAUUAAACCCCUCUUUAAUUAUUUGCCGACUUUGUAUGAAAAUUUAAACUACCCCAGGGAUAACAGCGUAAUUCUUUUUGAGUUUGCGACCUCGAUGUUGGACUAGGAAUUCGGUGGGCUAGCCGCCCAUUGUAAUUGUUCUGUUCGAACUGUUUUUCCUACGUGAUCUGAGUUCAGACCGG
rnacentral:rRNA from 1 species